AUCCUAACCGUGCAAAGGUAGCAUAAUCACUUGUUCUUUAAAUGGGGACUUGUAUCAACGGCAUCACGAGGGUUAUACUGUCUCCUUUUUCCAAUCAGUGAAACUAAUCCCCCCGUGAAGAAGCGGGGAUACCCCUAUAAGACGAGAAGACCCCAUGGAGCUUCAAACUCAACUACACCCCUAACCCCCAUAACUACUGAACUCUGAGGGCCCUGUAUCGUUGGUUUUAGGUUGGGGCGACCACGGAGAACAACAAAUCCUCCACAAUGAACGGGACUACCCCCUCAUCUAAGAGCUACACCUCUAAGAAUUAAAAUAUUAACAUAAAGUGAUCCAUUUUUUGAUCAAUGAACCAAGUUACCCUGGGGAUAACAGCGCAAUCCAUUUCAAGAGCCCUUAUCGACAAAUGGGUUUACGACCUCGAUGUUGGAUCAGGGUAUCCUAGUGGUGCAGCAGCUACUGACGGUUCGUUUGUUCAACGAUCAAAACCCU
rnacentral:rRNA from 1 species